GUCUGACAAGGGCAAAGCACGCCGAAAGGGUGUGACGCAAAGCCACCGGCCUACAUUUCGUUUUGUGCGAAACAGGGUAGCGGGGCCGCCGGA
rnacentral:ncRNA from 1 species